GACGAACGCUGGCGGCGUGCUUAACACAUGCAAGUCGAACGGAAAGGCCCUGCUUUUGUGUGGUGCUCGAGUGGCGAACGGGUGAGUAACACGUGAGUAACCUCCCCUUGACUUUGGGAUAACUUCAGGAAACUGGGGCUAAUACCGGAUAGGAGCUCCUGCUGCAUGGUGGGGGUUGGAAAGUUUCGGCGGUUGGGGAUGGACUCGCGGCUUAUCAGCUUGUUGGUGGGGUAGUGGCUUACCAAGGCUUUGACGGGUAGCCGGCCUGAGAGGGUGACCGGCCACAUUGGGACUGAGAUACGGCCCAGACUGCUACGGGAGGCAGCAGUGGGAAAUAGUGCACAAUGGGCGGAAGCCUGAAGCAGCAACGCCGCGUGCGGGAUGACGGCCUUCGGGUUGUAAACCGCUUUAGCCUGUGACGAAGCGUGAGUGACGGUAAUGGGUAAAGAAGCACCGGCUAACUACGUG
rnacentral:rRNA from 1 species